AUGUACCACCCGUACACUCCGUUUCCUCCGCGCCGUCCACACCCACCUGACGAUUGCUCGCUACGGUUUGUUAGCC
rnacentral:sRNA from 1 species